CUAUGCUGACGAGUCCCACAACAGGAUGAAACGGCCGUCCAGUUC
rnacentral:hammerhead_ribozyme from 1 species